GUGUUUGUUUUGGGUUUGAUAGAAAAUUAUAAUUAUUUAGUAAUAAAUAAUUACACAAAAUCUGUCAAUAAUGAGUAAAAAAUAAUCAACCAUGUUUUAACUUACACGGACGAAAAAAAAAACUUAGGCGGUCAACGCGGGAUUAGGCGGGAAUUAGACGGUUAACGCGGAAAUUAGACAGUCAACGCGGAAAUUAUGCGGUCUUACGCGGAUCAACGCGGGUCAACGUCU
rnacentral:lncRNA from 1 species